CCUACGGGAGGCAGCAGUGGGGAAUAUUGGGCAAUGGAGGCAACUCUGACCCAGCAACGCCGCGUGAAUGAUGAAGGUCCUCGGAUUGUAAAGUUCUUUUCUAAGGGAAGUAGAAAGUGACGGUACCUUAGCUAUAAGCCUCGCCUAACUACGUGCCAGCAGCAGCGGUAUUACGGAGGAGGCAAGCGUUAUCCGGAAUCACUGGUCGUAAAGGGUGCGUAGGUGGUUCAGCAAGUUAGUAGCGUAACUCCGGGGCUCAACCUCGGCACUGCUACUAAAACUGUUGGACUUGAGUGCAGGAGGGGCAACUGGAAUUCGUGGUGUAGCGGUGGAAUGCGUAGAUAUUAGGAGGAACACCAAUGGCGAAGGCGAGUUGCUGGACUGUAACUGACACUGAGGCACGAAAGCGUGGGGAGCAAACAGGAUUAGAUACCCUUGUAGUC
rnacentral:rRNA from 1 species